CUCAGGUGGCUGCCAUUCCAGGAGGUAUCCAUUCAUUUUUAUUGAGUCCAUCUCCAGUCUGUGAAACUCAUUCAAUUCUCUCAGUAUUCAGAGUACAAACAUGGAAACAGCCCAGCUUUCGUGGAAACCCCAGGCUCCUGCACGACUGAGGCGCUGAGGUUAUUAAAUCUACCUCCAUCAGAGUGUGUUUUCAGGCUGAUGUGUUUGCUUUUCAAUGCGUCUUACUUCUCUUAUUACCAACACAGUCCAGAUGGUUCUACUGCUUCCAGGAGCCACUCAGUCACAGUAAUAAUCAGCUAAUCCAAUACCACCACCUUCUGGCUUUGCACUAACUUCAUUGCUGUUAUGAAUAAACUUCCAUUAUGCUUUCUUGCUGUAGGUGAUAGUAAAGGCAUCACAUUUUGUUUUGUCAGCAAGUCGUGCUCCCUUUGGGACUCUAAAUACCUCUUUUUCUUUAGGAAAUGGAUUGUGUUUGAAGUGUCCUGUUGGGUAUUUUUGUCCUGCGGGAGCAAAUCAGCCAGCACCAUGCCAGCCAGGUACAUACAAUCCUCUCCAAGGACAGGAUGAAGCCACUGACUGCAGAGCCUGCCCAGCAGGAAGAGCUUGCACCCAGGCUGGAUUAGCCCAGCCUGACUCUGAGUGCUUACCAGGGUACGUGUGCCCAGUAGGAUCAUCCAGCCCACAUAUUCCCAGCAAUGCCUGUCCUCCAGGAACGGUUGGCAAUGGCUUUGACCUCUUUGAUAAGUCCCAGUGUGAGACGUGUCCUGCUGGAUAUUUCUGUGUUAGAGGUACGUGGUUUUAUGGCAAAAUGAAUUGUGUUCUUUGGUGCCUUGUGCCAUGCAUCCCCCCACU
rnacentral:lncRNA from 1 species